rnacentral:snRNA from 1 species
ACAUUUACCUGGUGCCGGGGCCUCGUUGAUCAGCGAGGACGAGCCUCCGGGGCGGGCAUUGCACUGCGCUCGCGUUGACCCCUGCCACUGCCCCAACACUGGGGCAGAUGGGGCAUUCGAAUUGC